rnacentral:rRNA from 1 species
AUUGAACGCUGGCGGCAGGCCUAACACAUGCAAGUCGAACGAGUGGCGGAGGGGUGAGUAAUGUCUGGGAAACUGCCUGAUGGAGGGGGAAAACGACGGGAAACGGUAGCUAAUACCGCAUACCAUCGGAUGUGCCCAGAGGGGAUUAGCUAGUAGGGGGGGUAAAGGCUGCCCUAGGGGACGAUCCCUAGCUGGCCUGAGAGGAUGACCAGCCACACUGGAACUGAGGCACGGUCCAGGCUCCUACGGGAGGCAGCAGUGGGGAAUAUUGCACAAUGGGCGCAAGCCUGAUGCAGCCAUGCCGCGUGUAUGAAGAAGGCCUUCGGGUUGUAAAGUACUUUCAGCGGGGAGGCGUUACCCGCAGAAGAAGCACCGGCUAACUCCGUGCCAGCAGCCGCGGUAAUUC